rnacentral:rRNA from 1 species
UACGAGGGGGGCAAAUGUUGUUCGGAAUCACUGGGCGUAAAGGGAGCGUAGGCGGGUUCUUAAGUAAGGUGUUUAAUCCCGGGGCCCAACCCCGGACCGGCACUUUAAACUGGGAAUCUUGAAUAGUGGAGAGGUCGGUGGAAUUGGGGGUGUAGCGGUGGAAUGCGUAGAUAUUAGGAGGAACACCGGUGGCGAAGGCGCCACUCUGGGCCGAAACUGACGCUGAGGAGCGAAAGCAUGGGUAGCAAACAGG